rnacentral:rRNA from 1 species
CAAUACCAGUUGAUCCUGCUGGAGGUCAUUGCUAUCGGGGUUCGGGUUAGGCACGCAAGCCGCAAGAGCAAGUUGUUGUUCUUGGCAUACGGCUUAGGAACGCGUAGUUAAUCUGCCCUAAGGAGUUGGAUAACCUCUGGGAAACUGAGGAUAAUACAACAUAUGAGAUUACCACUGGAAUGUGUUUUCUCUGAAAAGACUAAAAGCUUUGCCGAUUAGUUGCCUUAGGAUGAGACUGCGCCGGAUUAGGUUGAUGGCGGUGUAAUGGACCACCAUGCCUAAGAUCCGUAGGGGCCGUGAGAGCGGUCGCCCCAAGAAGGACACUGAGACAAGGGUCCUAGCUCUAUGGAGUGCAGAAGCCACGAAACCUUCACAAUGCGCGAAAGCGUGAUGAGGGAACCCCGAGUGCCACACCUAGGGUGUGGCUGUGGUAGAGUGUAAACAGCUCUACUAGAAAGUGGUGGGCAAGACAGGUGCCAGCAGCCGCGGUAACACCUGCAACACAAGUGAUGACCAUUUUUAUUGGGCUUAAAGCGUCCGUAGCCGGAUGCAUUGGUUCCCGGUGAAAUCGUUGCCCUUAAGGUAACGGCGCGCUGGGAAUACCCUGCAUCUAGGAACCGGGAGAGGUAAGAGGUAUGUCUUGGGUAGGGGUGAAAUCCUGUAAUCCUUGACAGACCACCUGUGGCGAAGGCGUCUUACUGGAACGGGUUCGACGGUGAGGGACGAAAGCUAGGGUCGCAAAGCGGAUUAGAUACCCGUGUAGUCCUAGCUGUAAACGCUGCGGAUUAGGUAUUGCGCGUAUUUCGUGUGCGCGCAGUGUCGAAGCGAUAGCGAUAAAUCCGCCGCCUGGGGAGUACGGUCGCAAGGCUGAAACUUAAAGGAAUUGGCGGGGGAGCACAACAAGGGGUGGAGCCUGCGGUUUAAUUGGAUUCAACACCAGGAAACUCACUAGGGGCGACAGCAGUAUGAAGGCCAGUCUAACGGGCUUGCCGAACGCGCUGAGCGGAGUUGCAUGGCCGUCGUCAGCUCGUGUCUUGAGAUGUCCUGUCAAGUCAGGUAACGAGCGAGACCCACACCACUAAUUGCUAAUUAUUCUCCUCGGAGAGUGAUGCACAUUAGUGGGACUGCAUUCGCUAAGAAUGAGGAAGGUGUGGGCUACGAUAGGUCAGUAUGACCCAAAUCCCCUAGGCUACACGCGUGCUACAAUGGAUAGGACAAAGGGACGCAACUCCGAAAGGAGAAGCAAAACCCAUAAACCUAAUCCCUAGUUCGGAUUGAGGGCUGUAACCCGCCCUCAUGAAGCCGGAAUCCCUAGUAAUCGGAGUUCAUCAAACUCUGGUGAAUACGUCCCUGCUUCUUGCACACACCGCCCGUCAAACCAGCCGAGUCGGGUUUGGGUGAGGCAUCGCCUUUGGUGCUGUCGAACCUAAGCUCGGUGAGGGGGGUUAAGUCGUCACAAGGUAGCGGUACGGGAACGUGCCGCUGGAUCACCUCCAAA